rnacentral:rRNA from 1 species
CGAAAUUCCUAGCCUUUUAAUUGGAGGCCUGCAUGAAUGGCUUGACGAGCGCCCUGCUGUCUCUCUUCCCAUGAACUUUUAAAUUAACUUUCGCGUGCAAAGGCGCGAAUGGCUGAGUUAGACGAAAAGACCCUAUGCAUCUUUACUGAGAGAGAAGAAAGUUCUUUAGCUUGGUUUAGCUGGGGCAGCUGAGGAAAAGGCAAAAUUUCCUUAAUAUAAAUCAUACUGGUGGGUUUAGAUCCAGGCUCUUUAGCGGGCUUGACAAGUAGAAAAGUUACGCUAGGGAUAACAGCGUUAUCCUUCUGUGGAGGUCUUAUCUGCAGGAGGGAUUGCGACCUCGAUGUUGAAUUAGGGAUAUACCAGAAAGGCGCAGAAGCUUUUAUUGUGGGUCUG